rnacentral:rRNA from 1 species
GUAACCUUUUAUUAGGAGCUAGCCGUCGAAGGUGGGACAGAUGAUUGGGGUGAAGUCGUAACAAGGUAGCCGUAUCGGAAGGUGCGGCUGGAUCACCUCCUUU